rnacentral:piRNA from 1 species
UGCUUGAGAUAGCAGAGCCGAGGUAGA